rnacentral:lncRNA from 1 species
UUUAAUUUGAGUCCAGUCUCUAAGAAUAAGUAAUGAACUCAUCUUGGGCACCAGCCAGAGCCUACAACUCUGAGACGACCCGUAAACCCCUUUCCCUUUCCUUCUGGUUCUGGAAGGGAUUCUGUAGUUCAAAGCUAUGUGAUAAGGACCAGGAGCCAUGACCCACUUAAACUUUAAACAUCUAACCCCAGAACUGGUUGCACUUGAGUCCAAAGCAGCAUUGUCUCUUGCAAACAAGUUCAGUUUGCACUUUAAGCUCCUCCCUUGCUGGCCUGAUGGUUU